CAACCCUGAUCCAGCAAUGCCGCGUGUGUGAAGAAGGCCUUCGGGUUGUAAAGCACUUUUGUCCGGAAAGAAAUCCCCUGCUCUAAUACAGCGGGGGGAUGACGGUACCGGAAGAAUAAGCACCGGCUAACUACGUGCCAGCAGCCGCGGUAAUACGUAGGGUGCGAGCGUUAAUCGGAAUUACUGGGCGUAAAGCGUGCGCAGGCGGUUUUGUAAGACAGGCGUGAAAUCCCCGAGCUCAACUUGGGAAUGGCGCUUGUGACUGCAAGGCUAGAGUAUGUCAGAGGGGGGUAGAAUUCCACGUGUAGCAGUGAAAUGCGUAGAGAUGUGGAGGAAUACCGAUGGCGAAGGCAGCCCCCUGGGACGUCACUGACGCUCAUGCACGAAAGCGUGGGGAGCAAACAGGAUUAGAUACCCUGGUAGUCCACGCCCUAAACGAUGUCAACUAGUUGUUGGGGAUUCAUUUCUUCAGUAACGUAGCUAACGCGUGAAGUUGACCGCCUGGGGAGUACGGUCGCAAGAUUA
rnacentral:rRNA from 1 species